AUUUUAAAUCCCGGCAUGCAAAAAUCAGGAGAAAACGUCACGACCUACAGGAAGUAGUUGAUAUUUUUUCAUUAAUUAUUGAAUUUCUCCUUUAUUACUGCACAUAUAGCGAUAAAACUUUGUGAAUAUAUAUAUUAUGUCAUAAUGAACAUAUUUAAACCAUAAGUAAAAAAUCGUGAAUUUUCCCUUUAACAUAGUAUUUUACUCCAAUAAGUAUAACAUAGUUAUAAUACUCCAAUAAGUAGUUUGUAUGUAUUUAACAUGAUGGAAAAGAUAUUUUGAAAAUUUUACUUUGCCAUUAUAUAUUGACCCCUCUACCAUGGUAUAUUGAACCCCCUAAUAUAGAAUUUGGAUUUCAAUUAAUCUAGCCGUUAUAACUCUUUAACAUAGUAAUUAUAUUUCAAUAAGUAGUUUGUAUGUAUUUUACUUGCUGGAAAAGGUGUUUUGAAAAUUUUAUUUAGCCAUGGUAUUUUUAACCCCCCCUCCCCAUUUGAGGUAUAUUGAAUCCCCCCUCUAUAGACCUCUCAUUUCAUGAUGGAGAUAUUUUGAAAAUUUUACUUUGCCAUUGUAUUUUGACCCCCCUGCGGUAUAUUGAACCCCCCCCCACUAUUGUCCUCAUUUAAAAAUAAAUUCUGGCUAUAUUAACUCCUUAACAUAGUAUUAAUACUCCAAUACUUGGUUUGUAUCUAUUUUAUUUGCUUAAAAAGAUGUUUUGAAAAUUUUACUUAGCCAUGGUAUUUUGACACCCACCCCCCUGCAGUAUAUUGAACCCUCACUAUAGACCUCUCAUUUCAGAAAUGCUAGCUAACUCCUUAAGGUUUAUAAACCCUUCUGUGGCCAUUUUUGUACAAACUUUUCAAACAUCAAUUGUAUUAAAACUACAGAUAUAAUGAAUAAUAGAGAUGUGCCAUUUUGUAUAUAUACCAGGGAGAAACUUGAUGCAAAGCAUUAUUAUUUACUGUUUCAUUGCGUUUAAGAGAAAAAGAGUACUUUUUGCAAAUCUACAGCCUUUAAAAAGGAUAUUUUGAAAAUUUUAUUUUGUCAUGGUAUUUUGACCCCCUACCAAUGGUAUAUUGAACCCCCUACUAUAGACCUUGGAUUUUAAAAAUCCAGCUGUUAUAACUCUUUAAAAUAGUAAUUAUAUUCCAAUAAGUAGUUUGUAUGUAUUUCACUUGCUUGAAGAGAUGUUUUCAAAAGUUUACUUAGCCAUUGUAUUUUGAACCCCCUGCGGUACAUUAAAUCCCCUACUAUAGACCUCUCAUUUCAAAAUUUCUAGCUAUACUAACUCCUUAUUAUAGUAAUAAUACUUAAAUAAGUAGUUUGUUUGUAUUUAACGUGAUGGAAAAGAUGUUUUGAAAAGUUUCCUUUGCCAUUGUAUUUUGACCCCCCUGCAGUAUAUGGAACCCCCACCUUCUCCAAGACUAUAGAUCUCUCAUUUCAAAAAUUCUAGCUAUACUAACUCCUUAACAUAGUAAAAAUACUUCAAUAAGUAGUUUGUAUGUAUUUAAAAUGAUGGAAAAGAUAUUUUGAAAAUUUGACUUUGCCAUGGUAUUUUGACCCCCCCACCUUGAGGAAUAUUGAACCCCCUAUUAUAGACCUCUCAUUUUUAAAAAUUCUAGCUACUCUAACUCUGGAACAUAGUAAUAAUACUCCAAUAAUUAGUUUGGAUGUAUUUAACAUGAUGGAAAAGAUAUUUUGAAAAUUUUACUUUGCCAUGGUAUUUUGACCCCUACCAUGGUAUAUUGAACCCCCUACUUUAGACCUUGGAUUUCAAUAAACCUAGCUAUUAUAACUUUUUAACAUAGUCAUGAUAGUAAUUAUAUUCCAAUAAGAAGUUUCUAUGUAUUUUACUUGCUUGAAAAGAUGUUUUGAAAAUUUACUUAGCUCUGGUAUUUUGACCCCUCCUUUGCAGUAUAUUGAACCCCCUACUAUAGACCUUGGAUUAAAAAUAAUCUAGCUUUUAUAACUCUUUAACAUAGUUAUUAUAUUACAAUAAGUAGUUUGUAUGUAUAUUUUUUGCUUGAAAAGAUGUUUUUAAAAGUUUACUUAGCCAUGGUAUUUUGAUCCCCUGCGGUACAUUGAAUCCCUUACUAUAGAUAGACCUCUCAUUUCAAAACUUCUAGCUAUACUAAUUAACUCCUUAACAUAGUAAUAAUACUCAAAUAAGUAGUUUGUAUGUAUUUAACAUGAAGGAAAAUAUGUUUUGAAAAUUUUACUCUGCCAUUGUAUUUUAACCCCCUACCAUGGUAUAUUGAACCCCCUAUGAUAGACCUUGGAUUUAAAAAAAUAUAGCUGUUAUAACUCCUUAACAUAGUAAUUAUAUUCCAAUAAGUAAUUCGUGUGUAUUAUACUUGCUUGAAAAGAUGUUUUGAAAAUUUUACUUAGCCAUGGUAUUUUGACCCCCUUGUAGUAUAUUGACCCCUACUAAAUACCUCCAAUUAAAAAAAUGAUAGCCAACAAUUUGUAAAUUAGACUAUCUGCAAUACUAUUUAUCAAAAACAGGGGGGGGAUGGGGAUUCAAAAUAUCAUAUGGGUAAAAUUACCCUUGGGUCACUUUUUAGGGGUUCAAAAUACCAUAUGACACCGGUCAGGAAAAACAGCCUUUGUAUGUGAUUUGAUGCAUAUUUUCUACUUCUAGAAAGAAUCUAUAGGCCCCAUUAUGUAUGGAAUUGAUACAAGAAGAUGUUUUACAUCCAUAGCCUUCUCAUUCUAUUUGAGGAAAAACCAAACUUUCAUACAAUUUUAUUAAUACAUCGAAACAAACACCUCCUAAAAGUUAAAGCGUUAACUUUAACCAUCCCUAAUGCUUUAUUUGCUGAAUAUGCAACGGCUUUUGCAGUUAUAGUCUAAAUGCUCAUUAAAAAGUUAUGACAAUUACAAUUAACAAAUACAUCAGAUCUAGGUAUAGAGAGUGUUCAAAAUUGUACAACAUAACACUUUGUUUGUAAUAAUUGUCUAUACAUCAUGAAGAUAAAGCAUUUAAAAAAAGUUGUUGCACUUUUCAUAGUUUGUCAUAAUAAUCAGCAUAUAAUACAUUUCAGGUUUUUUCACAAAAUUGUAAUUGGCAGUCUAAGAACUCAAGAAAUGAAACUAAAUUAUUUAUAUACAAGUUAAACAAAAUUGGGCACAAGGGACAUCCUUGUUUCAAGCCACAGUUUACAUCAAAUCACUCUGUGAAAUGAUUAUAUAUUCCUACAUAACAUAACACAUUUGUAAAAAUGGACUUAAUAGCAGAAUAAAAAGUCUGGAAUACACCAAUUAUAUUUAGUUAAUACCAUAACAUCUCUUUCCAAAGUGUUGUAAGCCUUUUAAAAAAUUAAUAAAGCCACAAAAUGUUGAUUAAGGAAGUGUUUUUCUAUCAAAUUAGUAAGAGUAGAUAAUUGUUCUUUUGUACUACAAACAGUUCUGAAGCUAGAACAUUAUUAUCAUCUACCAACUGAGCUAAUCUAUCAGUCAGUACAGUACAGUAUUAUAAGUAAGACACUGAUGCAGGGGCAACCAUUUAUAACAAAGGGGAUCUCUCGCAUCUUACAUGUUAAAUUUAGAAACAAAAUUCAUAAUACAUCAAUAUUUUUAAUAGAACAUCAACAGGAUCCAUUAUAUACUAACUAUACUAUACUAAACUAUACAACACUAUCUAAUUAAUAAGUGGAUUAUAUAACCCUGUUUACCAUCAGUGAUUUUGCAGAUCCAUUUAACCAAACAUUUUU
rnacentral:lncRNA from 1 species